CCGCUACGGAUUUAAUUCUUUUUUUACAAUGAACAGAGUAUUACUUAUUUAAAACAGCAUUCUAUUCACAGGUUAUUAAAUUCCAAAAGUGUACGUCCUACGUUUUCUUUCAUUCCUCGAGUCUACCCUAAUAGCAUCUCCAAGAGAUGUCCAAAAUGGAUCCUAAAACCUAAAAUUUAGGAAAUAGAUCAAAAGUACUUCUCCAACAUGUAUCUAAAUUUAUUCAUAAAAUUUAGGUAGUCCUAAUAUCACCUCAAUUGUUUCUAAGAUUUGGAGCAAUCUUGUUUAUUCCUAAAACGGUCAAGCACGUGGAAAGUGAAUACAUUGCAGUACCAGCCGCAGCUGCCACUGCUCCAGACACCAAAGUAUCUAAUUCAACCGACACGACAUAAGGUAUGGGUAGAAUCUGUUGCAUUGUUUAAGAAUAUAUGUAGCUUUGCUGUGUCGAAGAAUAUGUAGUUUUACUCGUUAAUUUGACCAUACAUAGAGCAAGAGACAAUUGCAUAUUUGACUCUGCUUUAAAGGCACGGAUGUCCUGGCGUUUUUUAUUUUCUGCUGUGAAAAAUCCUAUGAAUUCCAGCAUGAUGCAACAUUAAUAAAAGCUUUAUGACGGUUCAGAAUUUUUGUUGUCUCGGUUUAUUAACGAAAUUUUCACGGUGUUGUAAGGUGUAUGCAAAUAGGUCAUGAUUCUUGUGACUGAUUCCACUUCGGUCACAGUGGGGGUUGCCGGCUUAUACAGAAGCAGUCCAAACAAUACAAAUCUCACCAGAUCAUGCAAAGAAACCAUAUACGGAUUCAACGACUCCUUUCGUACGUAUGAAGAUGUCGCCUUCCAAGUGCGUACUCAUCUUCGUCGUCGCCUCGCUGCAGCCAUCGGCAGCCGUCAGGGACGCCCAGGUGUUCAAGCCCACUGUCGCCGUCGAUGUCGUUGGGCAUCAGCAGUCGCAGGAGAUCAACGCCGACUCAACCCAGCCAUCGACAUUGCUGCCUGGGCUGCCGCCAUUGCCACAGCUGCCACAGAUCCAAAUCCCAAGGCUCCCACCAUUGCCUCCCCUUUCGACUAUCCAAAUUCCAGUGCUCCCACCACUGCCUACCCUUCCGACUAUCUAUAUCCCGGGGCUACCACCAUUGCCACCAUUUCCGACUAUCCAAAUCCCAGAGCUCCCACCACUGCCUUCUUUUUCCACUAUCCAAAUCCCAGGGCUCCCACCGCUACCGACCCUUCCAACUAUCCAAAUCCGGGGCUCCCACCAUUGCCACCACUUCCAGCUAUCUAAAUUCCGGGUCUUCCACCAUUACCACCACUUUCAACUAUCCAAAUCCCAGGUCUUCCGCCAUUGCAACCAUUUCCGAUGAUCCAAAUCUCAGGUCUCCCACCGUUGCUACAGCUACCACAGAUUGUUGUCGGUCAAGGAUCACCAGCUGGACCAGUUCCGCUUUUGAUGCCUGCUCUUACUGUCGCUGCUCCACCAUCGUCCGGGUCCUCACCGUAACUUAUGGCAAGUUCAGGCUGGAUGCUAAUUAGGUGUCAUCAAGAUGAAGAUUAGGAUUUCGACCUCACAUUGAUACUCUAGAGUAGAUGCUGCCUAUUUCUGUGUUAGUUUUACUCAGCAGGAAAUUGAAAGUUAGCACUGUAAUUAGGUCUAGGGAUAAACUAUGUAUGGCUCAGAUCUUACUUUAGGUCAAUGUCAUAUGUACCCUUAGCAACAAAUAUAUAUACAAGUACGAGUUUCAUUAUU